UCUUGAACUCCUGACCUCAGGUGAUCCCCCUGCCUCAGCCUCCCAAAGUGCUGGGAUUACAGGCGUGAGCCACCGUGCUCGGCCUUGAACCAAGGUUUCUAAGAUGCUCUUAGCCUCCUUGGAUCUGGCCUAGCCCACCUUUCCAUCUUAGCUUUUCUGCACAACCGCCCACAGCUAGCUCAGCCUACGCCUCAGCCAAUCUGGUUCCCGACGAUGCAGAGCCGGCAUUGGCUGCAGAAGCCAGGCCUAGUCCUGUCCAGGGCCCCCUGGCCGCAGACAAAUGCUACAGACACGGCUCGUAGCACAUGGUUCUCUUUAUUGUGAUGCUCAGUGGAAAACAUCUGUAAACCAGCUUACUGUAGUGGUGACAGCUGCAACACAUGCUAAGGCACUUUUAUUAUAUAAAAAAGGGGGUAGGGUGGGAGUUUCACUCACUCCUUUGUGACAGCAACUGGGACCUGAAUUCAGAGCUUUGUAGGAAUACAAGUAAAUUCGGCAACCAGUGUAGACCAGUGAGGACGAGCUACUCUCUUCUA
rnacentral:lncRNA from 1 species